UCACCGUGUUGCCCAUUCUGGACUUGAAUAUAUGGGCUCAAGUGACCCUCUGACUCGGCCUCCUGAGUGGCUAGGACUACAGGUUGGGGAUUCUAUCACCUUUUCCACCUACUUGUCACGUCUUGAGUGAUGUGACCAAAAAUGAUUACACAGUUUGUUUGUUGCUGGUGCCAAGAGUACGUGACUAUGAAAACAGACAGGAAAUAAAAAGAAUAUCUACUUUGUUUUUGGGGAUCAAACGCCUGGUGCUUGUGAGGCAGGUGUGGGCACUUCUGAGCUAAAUCCCCGCCCACUUGGCCUGGAUUCGGAGAGAAUCCAGAAGCCUUACGGCAGAGGAGGAAGCAUCAAAAUGGCGGAGGCCCAGGAAGGUCGAGAAGAUGAGUUUUUGGAGAUCUUAAAUGAACUCCUGGUCCUCUUGGCACACUGGAGGGACAGGUGGGAUGGAUCCCUGGCAUCGUGGUGAUGAGAGCACGCCUGUGAUCUGGAUACAGUUUUCUCUAAAAACUCCAAAACUAAAGAACCUUCUCCUGAACAUGGACAUGAUAUGCAGCUCUCCCACCUCCUCCUCCUCACCCCGCAGUGAUUUUUGACUUGCAGAUGUGAACUGUAAUUUGCAGGCUCUAUAACUGUGAUUCUGCCUCACAGACUUAUCACCGAACUGGCGCUUUUUCUAACACUCUUUCACCUCUUUAUUUCUCACAGUCAUGGGAUCACACAAUUGUGAGGGUGGUUUUCAGUAUGUGAUUUAAGGCUUGAAGAGCCAAAAAUCAAAUGGAACAACAACAACAACAACAACAACAAAAAUGGCUGCAGAUGCAAUUUUCCUGGCUUCCGGGAGCAGUGUAAGAAAGUGAAGAUGUUAUAAGCUUUGUGGUUAUUCAAAUGUAACCCAUACACUCAGCAUCUGUGGGAGGUUGGGCCAGGUUUGACGGUUUACUCUCUGGGAGCUGCCCUGAAAAAUGGGCAUUGCGAUGCAUGGUCCAAAGGUUAGUGUUAACUGCAUGAAAAGAAAGCAGCCAGCCUGUGCCUAGAGGUGCUCAAUACAUAGAAUGAGCAUCCUUAAUCUAAAAGUAUGAAAUUUGAGAUGCUUCAAAUUCCAACAGUUUUGAGCAUCAUUUCUGCACUCAAAAAGUUUUUAUUUCAUAAGCCAGAAAGACAAGUUUCACAUGUCUUUGGUAAUAUAUGGAGUCUUAAAAAAAAGGUAGACUAUUAGGCAGGAGGCAAAGAAUAAAAGGGAGGUGGUGGGUGUAAGGAAUGUGAUGGGGGCAUG